rfam:Capsicum annuum cultivar Zunla-1 chromosome 5, whole genome shotgun sequence
AUACUUACCUUGACGGGGUCAAUGGGCGAUCAUGAAGGCCCAGGGCCUAGGUUGGCGACCUCCAUUGCACUUUGGAGGGGUGCUUUCCUAAGAUCGAUCCAAGUGGUCGAGCCUACGUCAUAAUUUGUGGCAGCGGGGGCCUGAGUUUGCGCGGCCCCUAC